rnacentral:snRNA from 2 species
AGCCGUGUGGUGAGCACAGAGCGAACUAUUCUUUCGCCUUUUACUAAAGAAUAUUGUGUGCUCGCCACUUGAAGCGACAUACGCUAAUUUUUGGAAAGGGUGUU